CACGCCUUGCUGUGGCUGGUCAAACGGAACCAAGUCAGGUGUUUCUGUGAGGUUUGGUCCCCUUCAACCAGCUACUGCAUUGGCACACA
rfam:Takifugu rubripes chromosome, Chr_16